rnacentral:lncRNA from 1 species
UAGUCUUGUUCUUGAAGGAAAACGUCUCCUUCCUCCCCUUGAUGUAGAAACUGAUCUUGGCAGCACUAGCGUAGAUGUCAGCUCCCGAGGUGUUCAGGAAUGGCCUCCCUAGGAUGAUGGGUGCCCUCUCAUCAGUAUCAGUCUCUAUCACCACGAAGUCUGCUGGAGCGUAUAAGGUACCAACUCGGACGUAGAGGUUCUUCAAUAUUCCCUUUGGGAAACUUAGUGUCUGAUCUGCAGGCUGCAAACACAUGGUUGUUUCUAGGAAAGGAUGUGUAAAGAAUUUUUCAUAGAGUACCCUGAGCAUAAUGUUGACGCUGGAGCCAAAGUUGCAGAGUGCUUCUAGGAAGUCCGCCAUGCCGAUGGAGAUCGGGAUGACGGGACGUCCUGGAUCGUAUCUCUUGACCGGCAGAAGGUCAGUAAUUACUUCCACAACAGGGUUACUCCAGUAGUUACGUCCUCAAGCAUCUCAGGGCAGUGAUUGCCUGAGUGUCCAGUAUCUCCAGUGUGUUUGUGCUCGUAGAUCUAGGUUCUUCACUUGGUGGAGUCUGGGAGUUAUAAAAGUCCUUCAUAUUUUGCUCGAAAUGUACCUGCUCAUAGAGACAAGGCAGAGAUCAAGUGCAUGGGCCCUGUUGGUGGAAAACACCAACAGAACCAAAAGUGUAUUUGUUCUUCUCUAACCUUAAGCAUAGUGAGCAAGACAAAGUUGAUGGAUAAUAAGAUCAUGAGUGUAACAUUUAAAACAUUUGUCAGAUCAGAUCGCUCAACCUAAUGGAAAGAUAAUCUAUCUAUACUUAUGUUUUUCUAUAUCUUCCAAAGAUUGAGUGUGCAAUAUUUUAGCUCAUAUAAUUAGGAGUGUGGGAUCACAAAGGUGGAAGGACUAAACAUAUUGAAUCGAUUGGGUUGGUUAAUCUAGAGUUGUAAAUCUUACAUGUUUGUCUCUUUUACUCAUGUGAAUGCCAAAAAUAAGGAGAAGCUUAUAGAAGUGAUAGUCAAGUACCUUAAGAUGUUACCUUUCUUGAAGAGUGAUGGUACAGUAUUACCUUGUGGAAGCUUUCCUUUCUUAGCGGUUGUGCAUCGUGUUUGUGGCACCCUCCAUGGAUCAUCUCUUGUGAGCUAUGCCUUCCUUGUAUAAAUUGUUAAACUUCAUGUGUCUCUCUCUUUGUCUCCAAUGUGAGUUUAUCUCAGGACUUCCCAGGUCGAUAUUGAAAGUUUUCCUACAGGGGUUAGUCCAACAAAAUAUCCAAUAUCUACUAUAGCAUACUAUCAGCUCAAAGAUCAACCUAGACACCAUGUCUAAUUUGAUUUAGGAGGACAUUUUAACCUAAGCAUCAUGCUUAAUUUAAACUCCCUUGGAAGUAAGAUCAUCAUUCCUAGCUAAGCACCAUGCUUAAUUAGGAGAUAAAUGAAACUACUCCAAACCUAGACAUAUACUAAAGCAAAUAAAGGUGGCAUGGGAGCAUUUAUAGAGAUCUACUCAAGUGGAGAUGAAGUAGUGUGAUUACUAUUUAACAAAAUUAAGCAUGUCUUAAAGGUAGGGACAACCAACAUAGCAACAUGGCAAAGGAUGUUUUUAUGCAAAGUACUCCCCCAAGCUUGAAUUUUGCAAAAUUCAAGUUUGGAUGAAUUUAAUUCAAUGUUGUAUGAUGAUUGGUUGUACAUACCUUGUGCUUGUCAUUCAUCCGAUCUUCUUGCUCUAAUCCUGAAAAGGUUAGUGACAACAAUACCCGAAGGAAUUUUUUUACAAUUAUCCUUAUAUGCUCAAUACACAAGGUAAUGUUGUAAAUAAUUAAGAGCUCAUGUUACAGUCUGAUUAGUGCUUGUUUUAGGACACUAAGCUUGUCCUUGGGAAACCAUCGAUUUAUGUCAGUGAAGUGGUUUCCCCUCCAACGCUGACCUAUAUCAAGAUCAACUCAACGAGAUCUGCAAAAUUUAUUAUAGACAUAUGCAUCGACAACCGCCCUUUUAAAGUUUUUAUAAAUAGAAAGGAAGUGGGGGUUGGAGAUCUCGAAUGUGGUGAUGUUGGAGAGACCAAUGGAUUGUGAAGAUGUUGCAUAUGAGCAUGGAGUAAAUGAAGUGGCUAUGAAAUAAAUUCCAUGCUCAUUAAUGCUUAGAGUGAAAUCCAUGUGGUAUGGUGAAAAUGAUAAGGUGAGUAUGGUAAAAAAAAGAAAGGAUACACGGACGACUUGGUUCGAAACUAGCACAGCUACCGUUCCAUGGCAACGGCGCCAGAAAGCUUGUUGGGUAUUUUAAACGCAAACAAAAAAAUCCGCAAGCGCACGGAUACCGAUGUAGCCUUCACCCGGGAGUAUUCCAGAGUAUCAAUUUUCCACAGGGAACGUGAGUGUACUAAUUAAGAUCCAAGAUCGCCCAAGGAUAACUAUAUAACUAUUUUUGGUGGGAAGAGAGGAAGUUUCCUGAGAGUUCUCUAGUUGAUCUAAGAAUCAAGAAUUACUUCAAGAUUAUCUAUUUCGGGACAUCAGAACACUAACCACAGAAAGAGAUGAGAAGGGGGCUAGGAAGCUCCGACUACAGUCCUACAAACACCGAUCCGAACGAUGUGGAAUACGUCGACCGUUAGGGCUGUCACUACCCUAGGGCUACCACAACAAUCCGCAGGAUUGGGUGCAAUUCCAGGUAAUUGCAAGACUAAACACCACGUCUAAUCUAUUAAUUACUACUCUAAUGUUUCAAAGAUUAGAGCACUUAAUGCAAGCGGGAAUCCAAUAAAUAACUUGAAUGUAAAUAAAAGUAAUUAGAGAACUCAGGAGUUAUGAGUUGAAGAACCUGGAGAACGAUGAAGAACGAACCAGAUGCUGCAAAAGUACAAUGUUGAGGAAGAUCCGACAGAUCCAGCUCCUCCUCCGCUCUCCUCUUCUCUCUCCCUAUUUUCUAGAUUACAACUAGAACUAACUAGAACUAGAACUAGAGGAACUAGAACUAGAACUAGAUCUAGAUGAACUAGAGGUAGAACUAGAAGAACUAGAGGGAUCCUCUCUACUUGGAUGAAGAAUUGAAACCCUAACUUUGAUUAUGUAGAAGAGGUAUGAUCUCCAGGGGCCAGGGGGCCUUUCUUAUAUAGUCUUUUUAGAUGAAUCUGGGCCGUCGGAUCAAACUGACAUUGAUCGUGUGGUUUUCCUUGAAGUAUUAGGUCGGUGGAGCUUGAUCCCCGAACUUCACCCUGAUUGGUCCAGGGGGGAGGGCGGGCGCCCAGUAAGGGAGGGCGGGCGCCCAGUGCCCGGCUCCGUUACGUCUCCCGUUCGCUCCCGUGGCUUCUGGACUCUUCUAGAUGGUAGAUAAUUGUGCGGCACGUUAGUAUCUCUAUGUAAACCCGACGUGUGGGUCUUUCUUCCGUAUUUCUGAUAACCCCCUGCAGAAAUAGACAAACACCAAAACUUGUGGAAUUCUGUCAGAUAAAACCCUAAGUCUAGGUUUUGGUUGCAUUUGGAUCCUUUUCUAUGAUUAGUUGAUGGUUAAUUGUGAGCAUUAAGGACCGUCAACAAGCUCCCCCAAGCUUAAACUUUGCUCGUCCCUAAGCAAUGAUGAACUCAAGAGUUUCUGCAGUGGUUUCAUGCCUUAAAGAUACACAUGCGUUCAAACAAGAUCUCAUCUCUAGGUUAGGGUAAACUGUUAAGAUUUAAACUUACUCAUAUUACCUUCCACCAUGGGGCUUGCAACCGUCACUUGUGUCUAGAGUAGUUAAAAGAUAGAACGGUCUAGUCAAGCGCCAUGUCUCUUGUUCUUCGAUUAACUAUAGCUCUGGAGUUUUUGCAGAUUUUCAAAUAAAACUCAGAGAUUCCUUGUAUGACUCUCUCUAGUCUCUCAUUUGUGGUAUUUCUGGAUCCUUACCAAGACAGUAAUGGUGUAUGCCUUCUCUCAGAGUAUGUGGUAUUUUUGGUAUGAGGCAUAGUGGCAUUGCCUUCUCUCUCACCCUACUCUAAUAAGGUUUUGAUAUCUGGAGCUCAUAGAUGGGAGAUAGCUAAUACAUACUUACAAGACAUUUAUUGCAUAGUCAAACCAUGGAUCCAAAGAAACAAGUCAAUAAGUCAAAUCAAGAUGUGCAUGUGUGGCGAACGAAUGGUGCAUGGUAAUGAUGGUGAUAACAAUGGUGAAAGUCUAAUUCUACUUGUGCUCUUUUGAGGGAAUACAUACCUUUCUUGCUCUUUUGAAACUUUUUGAGGAGAAUGAGAUGCUCUGUAUUUUUUUUUCUUUUCUCUUAGGUGGGUAUCUUGUACCCCUAAUUUUACUGUCGGACACUUGUCCAUUUUUACCUCUCGUCUCACUUUUUUUUCUCUUUUCUUUCGAGGUUUCGGGCACUUGCCCCUUUUUAUUUCCUCGUAUAUAUUUUUUUCUCUUUUUUUUAUAUUAGAGCACUCAUCUUCUGAAAUAAUAUAGCAAGUGGUAGUAACCAAGAUAACUUGAGCAUUUAUUUCACAGGGGAAAAAAACAGAAAUGUUUUUGGCUAUUCUCUCCUGGAUUAGGAGUAGAAUAUUUUUGGGUGGUUCUGGAGAUGGAAAUGGAUGGAUAUAUGUGGAUGCGUACUUCCGGAGUAGAAGCAGCAUGUAUGAGUGAACGUGCAAGUGAAUCUUGAUUUUAACCACAUGACAAGCUCCUAAGGGUCUACACAGCUUGACCACACUCAAUGCUCAUAAGCAGUAAAAAGUAAAUGUGUGGCUCAAAGUCUAGGAAGCAUGUAUAUCUGGCUGUGGUAGGAAUUUAAACUCUCAUCAUACAGGAACUCAUCAUGCAACACUUUAAAGAUUUUCAAAUAUAAAAUUCUCCAGAAUUCUAGCAUCUCUAAGAACAGAUAAACAGCAGCUCAACCUUCCCAUAUCAUAUCCGUUAAUGACUUAGACUUCAGCUCAAGUACUCUUCCCACAAGUUCAGGUUUAGAGCAAAUCUUAAUUAAUACCAGUCAUGCCUAAACUUGAGUGAGAUUUCAAUUUUGAGAACUAGUCAUGGCAGAGCAACUAUUCAUCAUUUCCAUUUGAGAGCUUAUCAUGAGGGUUCAUAGCAAACUUUAUUUAUUUACUUAUUUAGCAAACUAAGCAAAGAUAUAUGUAUAAGCACAAAAUUUUUAUUUGGGUUCUUAUGAUUAUGCAUCUUUUUAUUAUUAGAGUAAAGUAUAAACGUGAGUAGAAUACUUAGCUGGAUAAAUGGGGUUGCUCUCCCCCAAGCUGGGUUUUGACGUAAUUCCUUCUCAUGUAGCUAGCAGGUGGCAGAGGUGUAUUUGAAUGUUGGCAGCACCCUGACAGCGAUUAGGAUGUCCUCCAUCUGCUAGCCUUCUUUGAUCCUUAAAUUUUGUGGAGCUCAAAUAGACAACAAAGCUUUGUGGAACUCUUGGCAAGGCGUUCGGUGUUUUUAAGUCCUUCGAACGGGACGCUCUGCUUUCUCAGUCGUCCUGGGAUUCGCUGGAUGGCGUAGUCGGUGGUUCUGGCAGCGCCUGGUCUUCAUGUAUAACUAUCUUCUCUCUCCACACCUGACUCGGUGCUACGGUCUCCUCAGGACAGUUCUGUUCAAGUUGUAUGUCUUCAGACAUUACCACUUCUCCUUCAUAGUCUGCCCAUCCGUCCUUGAUGAUUUACCUCCUCUGGUCGUGGUUGCGUCGUCUUCUUCUUGUCCUGACCUGCUUAAAGUCUUCAACUAUAUAGUUAGGGUUAGUAAAAUAGCGGCGUACCUUGUCAGAGGGGAAAUGCAUGUGGACUUCUCUCGUUCCAAUGUAGAUGAUUGCUUUAACGGUACUGAGGAACAGUGUCUCAAUGGUGAUGGGUGGAUUGUACUCGUCUUCUCCCAUGUCAAUAACCUUAAAAUCAUCUGGAGCUGGAUGUAUGUUGGUUGUUGGGGCAUCGUUCCAUGCAGAGCUGAUAAGUGACUGCGGCCAUUAUGUUGACGUCAGAUCCGAUGUCGUAGAGUGUCUUCUGAAAAGAAUAUCCGUUGAUUGUGCACUUGAUGCUUGGAACACCAGGGUCGUCCUUCUUGGUCAGGGAUGGUGACUUAAGUCGACGAUCUUGACCUCCUUGAACUGCAGUGACCAUCUUAGCUGACUCGGUCUACAUUUGCUUGUUCCUGUUCCUCCUGUUGGUCCUUUCCUUGGUUCUUGUCGGGAUUGUUCUGAGAUUUAUGUAGUCUUGUUCUUGAAGGAAAACGUCUCCUUCCUCCCCUUGAUGUAGAAACUGAUCUUGGCAGCACUAGCGUAGAUGUCAGCUCCCGAGAUGUUCAGGAAUGGCCUCCCUAGGAUGAUGGGUGCCCUCUCAUCAGUAUCAGUCUCUAUCACCACGAAGUCUGCUGGAGCGUAUAAGGUACCAACUCGGACGUAGAGGUUCUUCAAUAUUCCCUUUGGGAAACUUAGUGUCUGAUCUGCAGGUUGCAAACACAUGGUUGUUUCUAGGAAAGGAUGUGUAAAGAAUUUUUCAUAGAGUACCCUGAGCAUAAUGUUGACGCUGGAGCCAAAGUUGCAGAGUGCUUCUAGGAAGUCCACCAUGCCGAUGGAGAUCGGGAUGACGGGACAUCCUGGAUCGUAUCUCUUGACCGGCAGA